CACGUGGGCAACCUGCCCUUGAGACUGGGAUAACUUCGGGAAACCGGAGCUAAUACCGGAUAAUAUAAGGAACCUCCUGGUUCCUUAUUGAAAGAUGGUUUCGGCUAUCACUUAAGGAUGGGCCCGCGGCGCAUUAGCUAGUUGGUGAGGUAACGGCUCACCAAGGCGACGAUGCGUAGCCGACCUGAGAGGGUGAUCGGCCACACUGGGACUGAGACACGGCCCAGACUCCUACGGGAGGCAGCAGUAGGGAAUCUUCCACAAUGGACGAAAGUCUGAUGGAGCAACGCCGCGUGAGUGAUGAAGGCCUUCGGGUCGUAAAGCUCUGUUGUUAGGGAAGAACAAGUGCGAGAGUAACUGCUCGCACCUUGACGGUACCUAACCAGAAAGCCACGGCUAACUACGUGCCAGCAGCCGCGGUAAUACGUAGGUGGCAAGCGUUAUCCGGAAUUAUUGGGCGUAAAGCGCGCGCAGGUGGUUUCUUAAGUCUGAUGUGAAAGCCCACGGCUCAACCGUGGAGGGUCAUUGGAAACUGGGGAACUUGAGUGCAGAAGAGGAAA
rnacentral:rRNA from 1 species